rnacentral:rRNA from 1 species
GACGUAGGGCGCGAGCGUUGUCCGGAUUUAUUGGGCGUAAAGAGCGUGUAGGCGGCCAUACAGGUCCGUUGUGAAAACUCGAGGCUUAACCUCGAGACGUCGAUGGAAACCGUAUGGCUAGAGUCCGGAAGAGGAGAGUGGAAUUCCUGGUGUAGCGGUGAAAUGCGCAGAUAUCAGGAAGAACACCGAUGGCGAAAGCAGCUCUCUGGGACGGUACUGACGCUGAGGCGCGAAAGCGUGGGGAGCGAACAGG